CAGGAUGAACGCUGGCGGCGUGCUUAACACAUGCAAGUCGAACGGAGUUUUAACGGAAGUUUCGGAUGGAAGUUUAAGAACUUAGUGGCGGACGGGUGAGUAACGCGUGGGUAACCUGCCUCAUACAGGGGGAUAACAGUUAGAAAUGACUGCUAACACCGCAUAAUAUAGUGAAACCGCAUGAUUUUGCUAUCAAAUAUUUAUAGGUAUGAGAUGGGCCCGCGUCUGAUUAGCUAGUUGGUGGGGUAAAAGCCUACCAAGGCGACGAUCAGUAGCCGGCUUGAGAGAGUGACCGGCCACAUUGGGACUGAGACACGGCCCAAACUCCUACGGGAGGCAGCAGUGGGGAAUAUUGGACAAUGGGGGAAACCCUGAUCCAGCGAACCGCCGCGUGAGUGAAGAAGUAUUUCGGUAUGUAAAGCUCUAUCAGCAGGGAAGAUAAUGACAGUACCUGACUAAGAAGCCCCGGCUAACUACGUGCCAGCCGCAGC
rnacentral:rRNA from 1 species